AAAGUCAAAUAAAUAUUUUUUUUAGUCAUGAAUGAUGGUAGGGGCCGGCAAGUAAGGUGUAAAAGAGAGAAAGAAGAAAAAAAUGAGAGGAAGACAUUGGCAAUGAGUUGUCACGUCCGCCCCCCUUCACGUGAAACCGUUGAAAUUCAUUCUCUUUUUCCUUCCUGCCAUCAGCUUUCAUGGAGAAAUAAAGAGAGAAGGAAGGCCGGCCAAAACUGAAAAGAAAAGAAAGAAGAAGGGAGAAAGAAAGGAAGGCAAAAGAGAGAAAGAGAGGGCUGGAAGAGAGAGCUGAAAAAUGGCAGCUGCUGCCGUUUAGAGGAGUAAAGAGAGAGGCUUUGUGCUGCAAAUUUUGAGAGGGAAAAAGAAAGAGUUUUGCUGCCAAUUUUGAGAGGAAAAAGGGAGCUGGUUUGCUGCCAUUUUAAGGAGGAAAAGGGAGCUGAAUUGCUGCGAUUUUAAGGAGGAAGAAGGGGCCGAAUUGCUGCCGGUUUUGAGGAAGAAAUGAGGGAAUUGUUGCCGGUUUUGAGAGGAAGAAAUGGAGGAAAUUGCUGCAGGUUUUGAGAGGAAGAAAGGAGGGAAUUUCUGCCGGCAUAAAAGAGAAGAAAGGAGAAAGAAAGAAAGGUCGAAGAAAAUAACGAGCUAUUGGUAAGAAAGAAUAGUUAGAUACGUCUUUCAACUGAUAGCGACGUAAUAUCUUGCUAUUGUAAGGGAUUAGCCUAGCGUGUAAUCAUCAGCGCGUACGGUCCACCUCAAAUAGGUAAAGGCAUCUCAUAGCCCUCCACUCUGAGUCACUCCGCUACCUAGGAUUGUGUCAUAAAGAAAUUGUUAGAUGUUGUAAAGUGUUUUUAACUCAUGGACAUGUAUUGUGCAAAGACUUUGUGAUGAUAUUUAAUUGUUAUUAUUUAGAAUGGAGUAAACAGUAGUACAUUUAUUAUUAUUCGCUUACGUACGUGAAUGUAUAUUUAAUGAAU